AAGCUGGCUUAAAGAGAAAGGAAUUAAAACUGCUCAUUUCAGAACGUAGAUGACCCAGGGGGCUGUACCAGCAUCCAGUAUAAAAUGAAUUAUUAUUCUGAACUGGGCAAAAGCUACUCCAGCAGAGUCCAAGAGCAAAAAUGGAGCUGGAAGUGCUUUCUGGUUGACAACUGGAGUGUGGUGCUAAUGUUCUCACAUCCUAAGGCUACAGCAGGGUUAGUUUCAUGCCCCCCCUUCACAGUCUUUGUGCUGAGCUAGCUUCUAGCUUUAGCCUUAUGUAUUCAUAAGGCAUAUAUACAGCAGUCUUGCUCAUCUAAGUCUCAACAAAAAGUGAAUAAAUGUAUUUCUAAAAGCUGCUGAGCUGUUGCUUUAACAGCCUCGUUAAGCUCAAUCAAGUGACCCUGCAGAGGUGAUUCAAAUGAGGGCGUGCAGUCGGCUAAAACAGCAUUACACAGCAAGAGGGAUGAUUAAUAUUCUAGACAGCAGCCCUAGCCUUCACUAUAAUUUAUUGACACAGUGACUGGUUUCAGACGAGUGGGGGUCACACAUAUGCAAUUAAACAGGCUUAUUAUGUGUGAAUGAGAAUGUUAAGAAUAGGGUGAAGACUGCAUGCAGGCAGGCAGCCAGUCGCUGGUGAGAUAAGAAUGAUAGAAAUAAGGCAACUUUAAUUAAAUAGAUAAGAGAAAACUUAAAAAAUUCACAACUUGCACAUCCAAUGUCACAACAGGAAGGAUUGAAAACACCCACACUGGUAAAUGACGCAGCCUCUUUAAAAAAAAAAAAAAAAAAAAAUCAUGCUGUGAAAAAGCAUAAAAAAAGGAGGGAAAAAACUUAUUCAUCGUGUGUUGAGAAAAAAUGUACCAUUAUCAGCAUGUCCAGUGGGGUUUGCUCUAUAAUGAAUGAGAGAAAGCUUCAGUCUUGUCCUCAGACAUGCGGUAUGACCCACAUUUUAUCCCAGAAUGCUAAUGUUAGCUACAGACCUACCAACCUGCCCCAGACUCCUUUUAGCCAACUGAAUGUUCAAUGAGUGAGUUACUCUCCUGCGGUAAAAAUGUCAAACAGUCUAAUGCAACAGCCUGGCGAUAAAUUUUACCUUCAUAAAGGUUGUGAUCUUCAGUUUUGGCUAAAAUGAUUAAAAGUAUUACUUCUAGAGCAAUCCAAAUAUUGCUAAUAUCGAUACCAGCGCUGGUAUCGGUAUCGGAUCGAUACUAGCACAAUAGGAUCAAUAUUUUCUAUCCUCAAAAUUCAGUAUGUAACCCACUGAAUAGUGUUAAAUAAAUUCUUAUCCUUUUGGAAAUGAAAAAACUUAAUCUUUUUGUGUCACCUGCCAGGUCUAGUAGAUUUAUAGCCUGUAGCACAUUUAAACAACAGAAGUUGACAAAGAGCUUUAGGUACAGGCACAUUUUU
ensembl:lncRNA